rnacentral:rRNA from 1 species
AGUGAACGCUGGCGGUAGGCCUAACACAUGCAAGUCGAACGGCAGCACAGUAAGAGCUUGCUCUUACGGGUGGCGAGUGGCGGACGGGUGAGGAAUACAUCGGAAUCUACUUUUUCGUGGGGGAUAACGUAGGGAAACUUACGCUAAUACCGCAUACGACCUACGGGUGAAAGCAGGGGAUCUUCGGACCUUGCGCGAUUGAAUGAGCCGAUGUCGGAUUAGCUAGUUGGCGGGGUAAAGGCCCACCAAGGCGACGAUCCGUAGCUGGUCUGAGAGGAUGAUCAGCCACACUGGAACUGAGACACGGUCCAGACUCCUACGGGAGGCAGCAGUGGGGAAUAUUGGACAAUGGGCGGAAGCCUGAUCCAGCCAGACCGCGUGGGUGAAGAAGGCCUUCGGGUUGUAAAGCCCUUUUGUUGGGAAAGAAAAGCAGCAGGUUAAUACCCCGCUGUUCUGACGGUACCCAAAGAAUAAGCACCGGCUAACUUCGUG